GACGUAGGGCGCGAGCGUUGUCCGGAUUUAUUGGGCGUAAAGAGCUCGUAGGCGGUUUGUCGCGUCUGCUGUGAAAAACUGGAGGCUCAACCUCCAGCCUGCAGUGGGUACGGGCAAACUAGAGUGCGGUAGGGGAGAUUGGAAUUCCUGGUGUAGCGGUGGAAUGCGCAGAUAUCAGCAGGAACACCGAUGGCGAAGGCAGAUCUCUGGGCCGUAACUGACGCUGAGGAGCGAAAGCAUGGGGAGCGAACAGG
rnacentral:rRNA from 1 species